rnacentral:rRNA from 1 species
UACGUAGGGUGCAAGCGUUGUCCGGAAUUAUUGGGCGUAAAGAGCUCGUAGGCGGCUUGUCGCGUCGGAUGUGAAAGCCCGGGGCUUAACCCCCGGGUCUGCAUUCGAUACGGGCAGGCUAGAGUUCGGUAGGGGAGAUCGGAAUUCCUGGUGUAGCGGUGAAAUGCGCAGAUAUCAGGAGGAACACCGGUGGCGAAGGCGGAUCUCUGGGCCGAUACUGACGCUGAGGAGCGAAAGCGUGGGGAGCGAACAGG